rnacentral:tRNA from 1 species
AGUCUUGUAUUCAUAUUUGUGAUAACAGAAUGCAAUUCUGCAGGGAUAGAAAUUUCUAUUAAGGCUU